CCCUGCUGCUCUGGUACAGGAGCCCAGCCCAGAAUUCCCAGGUGUUCCCAGUCACUUCUCAGGGCAGAACACAGACCUCUCACCAUGGAGUUUGGGCUCAUCUUGACUUUCCUUGUUGCAAUUUUAAGAGGUGUCCAGUCUGAGGUGCAGCUGGUGGAGUCUGGCGGAGGCUUGGUGAAGCCUGGAGGGUCUCUGAGACUCUCUUGCAUGGCUUCUGGAUUCAUCUUCAGCAGCUACACAAUGUACUGGGUCCGCCAGGCUCCAGGGAAGGGGCUGGAGUGGGUCUCAGCAAUUAGUGGUAGUGGUGGUAGCACGGUCUACACCAACUCUGUGAAGGGCCGAUUCACCAUCUCCAGAGAUGAUGGCAAGAACACGCUCUACCUGCAAAUGAACAGCCUGAGAUCUGAGGACACAGCUGUGUAUUACUGUGCGAAAGACACAGUGAGUGGAAGUCAUUGUGAGCCCAGGCAUAAACCUCCCUGUGGGAGACAGGAGGACUGGGCUGUAGGGAAGGCUCAGGACAGCAGGGGGCGCGCGGGUCACACUGAGCACAGUUAA